rnacentral:lncRNA from 1 species
UUCUAUACACUGAUGAUUCCUCUGUCUGUAUCUGUAUCUCGAUCUCUCUCCUAAGCUCGCGACCCAGAUUUGCAACCCCACUUGGGCAUGACCCAGGCACCUUAAACUUGCACGCUUAUCAACUGAACCCACUGUCAUCCUUCAUAAAAUCCGUUCUUCUCAUUUCCCCUAUCUCAAUAAAUGGCACCCAUUUGUCACCACGGCUCUGAAAGCAGAUUUAUCAGGACACAAAAGGAACCCAGGGCUGGGGCAGAGGAUUUCUGUGGUUCUGAGCCUCGGUGCAGAAUUGACAUCAUGGCUCUCCAGGGUCCGUGCCUCACUUUUACAAGCAGAAAAGAGGACAGUCGCCUGCUAGAAGCUGUGGCCUUGCAGGACACUUCUUGGCCAGUGCUUCCCUCCGCCCCCUAUCUCAGCUUCUCCAGGACUCUGCCAGCAGGAGAGGACUGAGGACUGUGCCUCAGCAGGACCAGUGCUUCCGCCUAUCUGCUGCCAGGAUCACAUUAGGGCUUCCUGUGUCUGCGGCUCACGUCUUGGCUCGGGGACAUACCUGCGAUGAUACUGAACAAGUUGAGGCCAUCGCCUGGGGACUAACUCACUGCUAAAUGACGUCAAUAAACCCCUUUGAGGUUGCUGCA